CACAUGUUAUAAAGAAUUAUAAUCUCGAUGGUAGUUCUUUAUAAUGUGUGAAUUUUUGCCGUUAAUAUGUACAACUGACUUAUUUUCUGGAGGGAUUAACCCAUGAUUGAAGGUACCGUUAAAUGGUUUAACGCAGAAAAAGGCUUUGGUUUUAUCGAAGUAGAAGGUCGUGACGAUGUAUUCGUACACUUCUCCGCUAUCCAAGCUGAUGGUUUCAAAACCUUGGAUGAAGGCGACAAAGUAAGCUUCGAAAUCACCCAAGGUACUCGCGGUGACCAAGCUCAAAACGUUGUCAAAAUCUAAGACGACUUUGAAAACAAAACCUCCCCUUGGGGAGGUUUUUUU
rnacentral:other from 1 species